rnacentral:SRP_RNA from 1 species
CGGCAGCCCCUCGCGCGGCGACACAUCACCCAACUCCCCCAGGGCCGGAAGGCAGCAAGGGUCAGUGACCUCUGUCGGGUGCGCGAGGGGUCCUUGCAU